rnacentral:rRNA from 1 species
GACGAACGCUGGCGGCGUGCUUAACACAUGCAAGUCGAACGAAGAGGCGAAAGGGUGUGAAUUACGUGGGUAACCCGCCCUCCUUUUUGGGAUAAGCCAUGGAAACGGGGUCUAAUACCGACAAAAGGGGGAUGGGCUCGCGGCCUAUCAGCUUGUUGGUGGGGUGAUGGCCUACCAAGGCGGUGACGGGUUGACGGCCUGAGAGGGUGACCGGCAACGUUGGGACUGAGAUACGGCCCAGGCUCCUACGUGGUGCGGCAGUGGGGGAUAUGGCACAAUGGGCGAAGGCCUGCUGCGGCGACGCCGCGUGUGGGAUGAGGGCUUUGGGGUUGUAAACCUCUUUCGGUAGCGAACGGGUAGGUGGAGAAGAAGCGCCGGCUAACUACGUGCCAGCAGCCGCGGUAAUAC